AGCAGUCGCCGCGGGAAUACAGAGGGUGCAAGCGUUAAUCGGAUUUACUGGGCGUAAAGCGUGCGUAGGCGGCUUCUUAAGUCGGAUGUGAAAUCCCUGAGCUUAACUUAGGAAUUGCAUUCGAUACUGGGAAGCUAGAGUAUGGGAGAGGAUGGUAGAAUUCCAGGUGUAGCGGUGAAAUGCGUAGAGAUCUGGAGGAAUACCGAUGGCGAAGGCAGCCAUCUGGCCUAAUACUGACGCUGAGGUACGAAAGCAUGGGGAGCAAACAGGAUUAGAUACCCCGGUAGUCCCUGUCUCUUAUAC
rnacentral:rRNA from 1 species